rnacentral:rRNA from 1 species
AGACCCGAAACCCGGUGAUCUAGCCAUGGGCAGGUUGAAGGUUGGGUAACACUAACUGGAGGACCGAACCGACUAAUGUUGAAAAAUUAGCGGAUGACCUGUGGCUGGGGGUGAAAGGCCAAUCAAACCGGGAGAUAGCUGGUUCUCCCCGAAAGCUAUUUAGGUAGCGCCUCGUGAAUUCAUCUCCGGGGGUAGAGCACUGUUUCGGCUAGGGGGCCAUCCCGGCUUACCAACCCGAUGCAAACUGCGAAUACCGGAGAAUGUUAUCACGGGAGACACACGGCGGGUGCUAACGUCCGUCGUGAAGAGGGAAACAACCCAGACCGCCAGCUAAGGUCCCAAAGUCAUGGUUAAGUGGGAAACGAUGUGGGAAGGCCCAGACAGCCAGGAUGUUGGCUUAGAAGCAGCCAUCAUUUAAAGAAAGCGUAAUAGCUCACUGGUCGAGUCGGCCUGCGCGGAAGAUGUAACGGGGCUAAACCAUGCACCGAAGCUGCGGCAGCGAACGUAUCACUUAAAGCGAUUCAGCGGAUGACGAUUGACGGAGCGAAGCGACGUCAAAGCGUAUACAAAGUCGAGUCGGUUUAAGGAUACGUUCGUUGGGUAGGGGAGCGUUCUGUAAGCCUGCGAAGGUGGCCUGUGAGGGUUGCUGGAGGUAUCAGAAGUGCGAAUGCUGACAUAAGUAACGAUAAAGCGGGUGAAAAGCCCGCUCGCCGGAAGACCAAGGGUUCCUGUCCAACGUUAAUCGGGGCAGGGUGAGUCGACCCCUAAGGCGAGGCCGAAAGGCGUAGUCGAUGGGAAACGGGUUAAUAUUCCCGUACUUGGUGUUACUGCGAAGGGGGGACGGAGAAGGCUAUGUUGGCCGGGCGACGGUUGUCCCGGUUUAAGCGUGUAGGUGUGUGUUCCAGGUAAAUCCGGUUCACUUUAACACUGAGGCGUGACGACGAGGCACUACGGUGCUGAAGCAACAAAUGCCCUGCUUCCAGGAAAAGCCUCUAAGCAUCAGGUAACAUCAAAUCGUACCCCAAACCGACACAGGUGGUCAGGUAGAGAAUACCAAGGCGCUUGAGAGAACUCGGGUGAAGGAACUAGGCAAAAUGGUGCCGUAACUUCGGGAGAAGGCACGCUGACAUGUAGGUGAAGUGAUUUACUCAUGGAGCUGAAGUCAGUCGAAGAUACCAGCUGGCUGCAACUGUUUAUUAAAAACACAGCACUGUGCAAACACGAAAGUGGACGUAUACGGUGUGACGCCUGCCCGGUGCCGGAAGGUUAAUUGAUGGGGUCAGCGCAAGCGAAGCUCCUGAUCGAAGCCCCGGUAAACGGCGGCCGUAACUAUAACGGUCCUAAGGUAGCGAAAUUCCUUGUCGGGUAAGUUCCGACCUGCACGAAUGGCGUAAUGAUGGCCAGGCUGUCUCCACCCGAGACUCAGUGAAAUUGAACUCGCUGUGAAGAUGCAGUGUACCCGCGGCAAGACGGAAAGACCCCGUGAACCUUUACUAUAGCUUGACACUGAACAUUGAGCCUUGAUGUGUAGGAUAGGUGGGAGGCUUUGAAGUGUGGACGCCAGUCUGCAUGGAGCCGACCUUGAAAUACCACCCUUUAAUGUUU